GACAGAGGUGCCGAGCGUUAGGCGGAAUCACUGGGCGUAAAGCGUGCGUAGGCGGUUUCUUAAGUCUGUCGUGAAAGCCCUGGGCUCAACCUGGGAAUGGCGAUGGAUACUGGGAGGCUAGAGUGUGAUAGAGGAUGGUGGAAUUCCCGGUGUAGCGGUGAAAUGCGUAGAGAUCGGGAGGAACACCAGUGGCGAAGGCGGCCAUCUGGAUCAACACUGACGCUGAGGCACGAAAGCGUGGGGAGCAAACAGG
rnacentral:rRNA from 1 species